rnacentral:misc_RNA from 1 species
GNCACNAGANCCUNNUUUGNCCUCGGUCGCUUGUUGNUUUCCUGUGCUAUAUACCNNCAUUGAGGGAACUUGUUGGCCAAUUUAUCCCGAGUUCUCCUACAUNUGCCCGUUAACGCGGUGCGGCUUCGGGUGAACCUGAAAGCGAAAUUUGUGUUCCNACUUGCAUGCAAUUGCUAUGCACUCACGGCCCAUGAACGAAGCGUGACCUUGGGGAUGCAGAACACAUUGAGGGUAAGGGGUCUUCGACCUCUUUGUUUGCCCCAAAUCGGCAUUACACGCCCCAUUCGAUUGACUCCGGUGUCGCAAAGNCAUGCUACGUCUUGCGACUCCAUGUCACCGAGGAAUGCUACCUGGUUGAU